UACGAGGGGGGCGAGCGUUGUUCGGAAUUACUGGGCGUAAAGGGCGUGCAGGCGGUCUGUUAAGUGCAGGGUGAAAGCUCCCGGCUCAACUGGGAGAGGUCCUUGCAUACUGGCGGACUUGAGGGGGGUAGAGGAAAGUGGAAUUCCCGGUGUAGUGGUGAUAUGCGUAGAUAUUGGGAAGAACACCGGUGGCGAAGGCGGCGACCUGGUCCGAUACUGACGCUGAGGCGCGAAAGCGUGGGGAGCAAACAGG
rnacentral:rRNA from 1 species